rnacentral:rRNA from 1 species
GAUGAACGCUAGCGACAGGCCUAACACAUGCAAGUCGAGGGGCAGCACAAGGAGCAAUCUGAGGUGGCGACCGGCGCACGGGUGAGUAACACGUAUGCAACCUACCUGUAAGAGGGGAAUAACCCGUUGAAAAACGGACUAAUACCGCAUAACACUGUAGAACCGCAUGGUUUGACAGUUAAACAUUUAUGGCUUACAGAUGGGCAUGCGCAUGAUUAGCUAGUUGGUGAGGUAACGGCUCACCAAGGCAACGAUCAUUAGGGGUUCUGAGAGGAAGGUCCCCCACACUGGUACUGAGACACGGACCAGACUCCUACGGGAGGCAGCAGUGAGGAAUAUUGGUCAAUGGGCGAGAGCCUGAACCAGCCAAGUCGCGUGAAGGAUGAAGGUUUUAUGAAUUGUAAACUUCUUUUGCAGGGGAAUAAAGUGCGGUACGUGUACCGUUUUGUAUGUACUCUGCGAAUAAGGAUCGGCUAACUCCGUGCCAGCAGCCG